rnacentral:rRNA from 1 species
AAAGAAAGCGUAAUAGCUCACUGGUCGAGUCGGCCUGCGCGGAAGAUGUAACGGGGCUAAACCAUGCACCGAAGCUGCGGCAGCGACGCUUAUGCGUUGUUGGGUAGGGGAGCGUUCUGUAAGCCUGUGAAGGUGUACUGUGAGGUAUGCUGGAGGUAUCAGAAGUGCGAAUGCUGACAUAAGUAACGAUAAAGCGGGUGAAAAGCCCGCUCGC